UACGUAGGGGGCAAGCGUUGUCCGGAAUUAUUGGGCGUAAAGCGCGUGUAGGCGGCUCGGUAAGUCUGCUGUGAAAGUCCAGGGCUCAACCCUGGAAUGCCGGUGGAUACUGUCGAGCUAGAGUCCGGAAGAGGCGAGUGGAAUUCCUGGUGUAGCGGUGAAAUGCGCAGAUAUCAGGAGGAACACCAAUGGCGGAGGCAGCUCGCUGGGACGGUACUGACGCUGAGACGCGAAAGCGUGGGGAGCGAACAGG
rnacentral:rRNA from 1 species